GGCUACCAAUUUGUCCCUUAAUAAAUGUCCUCACCUCGGCUUCCAUUCUCAGAGCCGCCACCGAGAAAAGUAAAAACUCCCGAUACUCAUCGGAGUUGGGGUUUCCGAUCAGAAAGUUCAAAUCUUUCGCCAUUUCCCACACUCUCACUUCUCGUCAAAUUGAACACUCAAUCCUCGACAUUUUGGGGAACGCCGUUAGGGUUUCGGCAUUAGCGAUUCCCGGAUGUUCACGCCGCUGAGGAAGGCGCCGAGGACCACCUACAAGGGCAAAGCCGUGGCGUACGUCGACGGUCCUCCGCCGCCACUGGGCUCGCUGAGCGAAAUCAGAAGCGGCAGCGGCGGGGCCAAAAACGUCGCCGGAUUUGGACAAUGCCGAUUGGAGGCGGUUUAAGGAGGUUGGGCUGCUCGGUGAGGCAGCCAAUAAGGUCGCUAGG
rnacentral:lncRNA from 1 species